UGGGGAAUAUUGCACAAUGGGCGCAAGCCUGAUGCAGCGACGCCGCGUGAGGGAUGACGGCCUUCGGGUUGUAAACCUCUUUCAAUAGGGACGAAGCGCAAGUGACGGUACCUAUAGAAGAAGGACCGGCCAACUACGUGCCAGCAGCCGCGGUAAUACGUAGGGUCCGAGCGUUGUCCGGAAUUACUGGGCGUAAAGAGCUCGUAGGUGGUUUGUCGCGUUGUUCGUGAAAACCCACAGCUUAACUGUGGGCGUGCGGGCGAUACGGGCAGACUUGAGUACUGCAGGGGAGACUGGAAUUCCUGGUGUAGCGGUGGAAUGCGCAGAUAUCAGGAGGAACACCGGUGGCGAAGGCGGGUCUCUGGGCAGUAACUGACGCUGAGGAGCGAAAGCGUGGGGA
rnacentral:rRNA from 1 species